UGUUAAUACAUAUUUUGUUUGUCUCUGCCAUCAGGGACAGCUGGCAUAUUUUUUGGUUCAUCAUUUAAUCACUCAGGUAAAAAGGGCAUGAAAAUACACAAUAAAUAAAUCAGUAAGUUAAUUUAGAUAAAGUUAAUUUAUUCUGUUUACAGGAUCUCGUAAAAUCAGGAACUUA